UUUUCUUGGACUACGAUCGAUUUUUUGUUGAUGAAACCCUAAAACACGAAUCUUUGCAUGAUUUAGUCAUAACAUUUUAUGGACAAUACUAUACAGAUAGUAUCAACUGGGAUGAUUUUAAAAUAUUGUUCAUGAAAUAUCCAAAUCUUAAACAUCUUGCACUGAGGAAAUGCAAUAGCCUGGAAAAUGAAGCCGUGCUGCAAUUGAUUAACAUUUUACCCAAUUUGAUAUUAUUUGAUGGUCGUGGUUGUCCAAAAGUCACUCAGGAGGCUGCUAAUUAUGUUCAAGAUUAUAAUAGACUACAUGGACGAUAUAUCAAGUUUUAUUUUGAUGGUAAUUACCAUGAAAUUGAAUCAGAUUGGCCUCAUUUAUCCACUGAAUAUAAAAUAAUAGGUCAAGGUUUUGAUUUCAUGAAACAUUGCUUCCUUGUGAGCUCUCCUACUUUCUUAAUCCCUAGUGAGCACUGAAUCACCUUUGAGUAUAAUUUGCUGUUGGUAUCUUCAACACACAAUAUGCAUUCAUAAUAUUAUUCAUUUUGAAAAAAUGACCGAUUCUUACAAUUUCAAUCGAACAAAUCUGAAUUUUAAUUUUCAAUAAAAUUUUUUUUAAAAUCUAA